AUCCAGCUAACGAGUCCCAAAUAGGACGAAAUGCACAUCCUGGAU
rnacentral:hammerhead_ribozyme from 1 species